UCUAAGGAUUCUUUUGAAUCCACUGCACACACAAAUUUCAAAAAGU
rfam:Vitis vinifera, whole genome shotgun sequence of line PN40024, unordered unoriented unplaced sequences